UACGAAGGGGGCUAGCGUUGCUCGGAAUCACUGGGCGUAAAGCGCACGUAGGCGGACUCUUAAGUCGGUGGUGAAAUCCUGGAGCUCAACUCCAGAACUGCCUUCGAUACUGAGAGUCUUGAGUCCGAGAGAGGUGAGUGGAACUGCGAGUGUAGAGGUGAAAUUCGUAGAUAUUCGCAAGAACACCAGUGGCGAAGGCGGCUCACUGGCUCGGUACUGACGCUGAGGUGGCGAAAGCGUGGGGAGCAAACAGGG
rnacentral:rRNA from 1 species